UCCUGGCAGUUCAAAAGGUAAAGAAUCCACCUGCAAAGCAGGAGACCUGGGUUCAACCCCCAGGUCGGGAA
rnacentral:tRNA from 1 species